rnacentral:lncRNA from 12 species
AUACUGGAGACACACUGUGAAGUCUAGAUUACUUAAGGUCAAAUUCGAUUCUUAGUCCUUUAAGUGUUUAGAAAAUUGAGAUGAAGAGACGGGCACUGAGGGGGGCACUUGAGGGGAUGAGCACUGGGUGUUAUUCUAUAUGUUGGCAAAUUGAACACCAAUAAAAAAUAAAUUUAUAUAAAAAAAAGAAAGAGGCUGAGAUUUUGGAUCUGAUAUCACUCAGCAAUACCUUGCAAUGAAAUCAACUUUCCUUUGUGAAAUUCUGAAAGUAAACACUAAUAUCUGAAUCUUACACUGAAUCUAAUAUCAAAGUAAUAGACUGGGCUUGAAGCUGGAGAGGAGGGAAAAAAAGAAACUUCUUUAUAUACAGACUGUAAUUCUCUAGCAUUUCAGGGAUUUCUGGGAAGACUUAUUUAAUCUACCUUGUCAUGUGCUGACAUUUAAUAAACACCUCACUCCUUUCCAGGUAUUUUUAACAGUGAGCUGCAGAAGAGUAAAUCCCUGGCCAGUUAACAGUAUUGAAAUGACCGAACAGCUUCUCUCUUGAAAAACAAGACUAAUGGAUGGUGUGAGAAGCUUACUCCUCCUGAAUCCCAGCCAGGACCAACUAGACAUUUGGGUUCAUGCUCUUUCCAGCCCACCGUGUUGCUUCUCUCGUUCCAUAAAGCCAUCACUGCAAUGCUCACGGUUUGUGACUCAUUCUGGAGUAAUAGCCCUGCCUCAAGUGAUAUCUGUUGAAGAUGGACGGUGUGUUAAAGAAGUGGAUGGCAUAUAG